GACGAACGCUGGCGGCGUGCCUAAUACAUGCAAGUAGAACGAGUGGCGAACGGGUGAGUAAUCCGUGCGUAACCUGCCCUCUUUUUGGGAUAAGCCUUGGAAACGGGGUCUAAUACCGGAUAACGGGGGAUGGGCUCGCGGCCUAUCAGCUUGUUGGUGGGGUGAUGGCCUACCAAGGCGGUGACGGGUAGCCGGCCUGAGAGGGUACACGGCGACAUUGGCACUGAGCAGCGUCCUACGGUCGUAAGGGGGGGAGCAGUGGGGGCUAUUGGACAAAGGCCGAAAGCGUGAUGCAGCGACUGCGAGGGAGGGAUGAGGGCUUUCGGGUUGUAAACCUCUGUAGCUAUCGAAGGGGUAGGUGGAGAAGAAGCGCCGGCUAACUACGUGCCAGCAGCCGCGGUAAUUC
rnacentral:rRNA from 1 species